GUUUAUUCGUUUCAGGAUCACU
rnacentral:siRNA from 1 species